rnacentral:rRNA from 1 species
UACAGAGGGUGCAAGCGUUAAUCGGAAUUACUGGGCGUAAAGCGUGCGCAGGCGGUUGUGCAAGACAGGCGUGAAAUCCCCGGGCUUAACCUGGGAACUGCGCUUGUGACUGCACGGCUAGAGUACGGCAGAGGGGGGUGGAAUUUCACGUGUAGGCAGUGAAAUGCGUAGAGAUGUGGAGGAACACCGAUGGCGAAGGCAGCCCCCUGGGCCAGUACUGACGCUCAUGCACGAAAGCGUGGGGAGCAAACAGG